UGCUGUUUGUUUUUUCUUUUCUUUCUUUUUCUGUUUUUUCUUUUUGGAUUUUUUGUUGUUGCUUGCAUUUGUAUGGAUCCCCUGAGCAGUGGAAGAAGCAGCAUUAUUCGAUGAUGACACAUCGGUGUGUGUCUUCCAUAAUUCUUCUUGAUACGAUAAAUGAUAUAUUUCACAUUUGCAAGAAGAACAUACAUGGCAUUUGCACUCAUUGCAAAACCUCGCUUCCGAUGGGCAAUGUCUUGAAAAGUAUUGCCGACAUAAUGCACAACAAACAAAAUGCUGUUUCCAAAUUCGGGUAGCACGUUUGGAUAC
rnacentral:ribozyme from 13 species